CUACGGGAGGCAGCAGUAGGGAAUCUUCCACAAUGGGCGCAAGCCUGAUGGAGCAACGCCGCGUGUGUGAUGAAGGGUUUCGGCUCGUAAAACACUGUUAUAAGAGAAGAACGGCACUGAGAGUAACUGUUCAGUGUGUGACGGUACCAUACCAGAAAGGGACGGCUAAAUACGUGCCAGCAGCCGCGGUAAUA
rnacentral:rRNA from 1 species